AGAGUUUGAUCAUGGCUCAGGACGAACGCUGGCGGCGUGCCUAACACAUGCAAGUCGAACGAGAAUUUCAGAGCCGAUCCCUUCGGGGUGAAGCAUUGGAAGGAAAGUGGCGGACGGGCGAGUAACGCGUGAGUAACCUGCCCAUAAGAGGGGAAUAAUCCGUGGAAACGCGGACUAAUACCGCAUAUUGUAAUUUCCCGGCAUCGGGGAAUUAUGAAAGAUUUUAUCGCUUAUGGAUGGACUCGCGUCAGAUUAGAUAGUUGGUGAGGUAACGGCUCACCAAGUCGACGAUCUGUAGCCGAACUGAGAGGUUGAUCGGCCGCAUUGGGACUGAGACACGGCCCAGACUCCUACGGGUGGCAGCAGUGGGGAAUAUUGCGCAAUGGGGGCAACCCUGACGCAGCAACGCCGCGUGCAGGAAGACGGUCUUCGGAUUGUAAACUGUUGUCGCAAGGGAAGAAGAAAGUGACGGUACCUUGUGAGAAAGUCACGGCUAACUACGUGCCAGCAGCCGCGGUAAUACGUAGGUGACAAGCGUUGUCCGGAUUUACUGGGUGUAAAGGGCGCGUAGGCGGACUGUCAAGUCAGUCGUGAAAUACCGGAGCUUAACUCCGGGGCUGCGAUUGAAACUGACAGCCUUGAGUAUCGGAGAGGAAAGCGGAAUUCCCAGUGUAGCGGUGAAAUGCGUAGAUAUUGGGAGGAACACCAGUGGCGAAGGCGGCUUUCUGGACGACAACUGACGCUGAGGCGCGAAAGUGUGGGGAGCAAACAGGAUUAGAUACCCUGGUAGUCCACACCGU
rnacentral:rRNA from 1 species